UACAGAGGUCCCAAGCGUUGUUCGGAUUCACUGGGCGUAAAGGGUGCGUAGGUGGCCAGGUAAGUUCGGUGUGAAAGCUCGGAGCUUAACUCCGAAAUGGCAUUGAAUACUAUCUGGCUAGAGGGUCGGAGGGGAGACUGAAAUUCUCGGUGUAGCAGUGAAAUGCGUAGAUAUCGAGAGGAACACCAGUGGCGAAGGCGAGUCUCUGGACGACUCCUGACACUGAGGCACGAAAGCCAGGGGAGCAAACAGG
rnacentral:rRNA from 1 species